GGGUGCGUAACGCGUAUAGAACCUACCUUUUACAGAGGAAUAGCCUUUAGAAAUGAAGAUUAAUGCCUCAUAGUAUUGUAGACUGGCAUCAGUUUAUAAUUAAAGAUUUAUCGGUAAAAGAUGGCUAUGCGUCCUAUUAGUUAGUUGGUAAGGUAACGGCUUACCAAGACAGCGAUAGGUAGGGGUCCUGAGAGGGAGAUCCCCCACACUGGUACUGAGACACGGACCAGACUCCUACGGGAGGCAGCAGUGAGGAAUAUUGGACAAUGGAGGAGACUCUGAUCCAGCCAUGCCGCGUGUAGGAAGAAUGCCCUAUGGGUUGUAAACUACUUUUAUACAGGAAGAAACACUGGUAUGUAUACCAGCUUGACGGUAC
rnacentral:rRNA from 1 species